rnacentral:lncRNA from 1 species
ACCAAGAGACCAGGAGGGUAAAGGGUAAACAGGGUAAACUUCAGAGUCAGGAGCCAAGUCAGAAAGGAAGCAGACAUGUGAGAGACAGAGCAGCGUGGAGCUGGAAAGAAAACAGGCAUGCGAGAGAGAGCAGCAUGGAGUUGGCAUGUGUGGGGUUGUGGUCACGUUCUGUGUGUUCCAGAACAGCAGGCUGGCGGUGAGACGCUAUUUCCAGUCUUGGUUGUGUGGUCUUUGGGUCCAGAGCAAGCAGGCUUUGGAGGAGUGUAGGAAGACCGAGCCGAUCAACAGGAAGUGAGCAAGUAUGGCUGCCCAGCAAGGGUCAGAAUCUGCUCCUUGCUUCCGGAUCGCCCCCUCGGCCUGAUGGACCCAGUAAACAAGGAAAGGAAGCACACAGGAGCUCCGUGUGUGCCCCACACCGCAAGUCUGAGGCUUCUAUGGUCCUGCGUUUCCUGAGAAAGCUCUGGCUGGGGUUUCUUCUAGCCUCUGAUCCCCUGCAAGGUGAGGUACCACAAACAAGAAAGGCUCCAUUAGGGCCUGUUAUCUGCUGCUUCUGAAAGGGCAGCUGCCUUCUUUUCAGGGUCCCAAGGCUGCUUUGGGAUAUUCAUGCUCUCCCACCAGCUGCAGGGGCAUACUUCCUGCUCCCUAAUCUUCCUGCUCUCUAAUCUCAUGUGUACUCUUCAGUGACACUCGAGGGCCUAGGCCAGCCCUUUGACACAGUGCUAGAGUCCAGAUGUCCUGGAACAUGAGCUACACACAUGCUCGCGCACGCACGCACGCACGCAGGCAGGCACAGUGCCACCGAUCAGGGGAUCAGUGGCAGAACUAGCUGGAUACUGCAGGAUCCUCUGGGGGAAAAAGUGUCCCAGGCUCUCUGUCAAGAGUGGAAUUUUCUGUCCCAGGGUGUUAUUAAAUGCACUGAAGUGUCAGGUGUCUCCUCCCCACCUCCUCCCGUGCUCAGCUCAGCUCAGCUUAGUUACCAUUCCAUAAAGAGAAGUGACAAAUAGCAGUGCCAGCUCUGGGCAGGUGCUUUAGUUACUCUGUAGGAGGGGACAAAGCGCCCAGCAACUGCAGGAAGGAAGGGUUCAUUUAGUCUUUCAGUCUGAGGGUGCAGUUCAGCAUGGUGGGAAAGGGGUGGCAGCAGAGGCCUGAAGUGGCUGCUCACACUGCUCCUAUAACCAGGAAGCGGAGAGGGAUUGUUGGCUAUAACCAGGAAGUGGAGAGGGAUUGUUGGCUAUAACCAGGAGGUGGAGAGGGAUUGUUGGCUAUAACCAGGAAGCGGAGAGGGAUUGUUGGCUAUAACCAGGAAGCGGAGAGGGAUUGUUGGCUAUAACCAGGAAGUGGAGAGGGAUUGUUGGCUAUAACCAGGAGGUGGAGAGGGAUUGUUGGCUAUAACCAGGAAGCGGAGAGGGAUUGUUGGCUAUAACCAGGAGGUGGAGAGGGAUUGUUGGCUAUAAUCAGGAGGUGGAGAGGGAUUGAUUGUUGGUGCUCUGCUCACUCUCUCCUUUUGCUUCAGUCCUGGACACAAGCCCAAGGUGCUGUCCAUCUUAAUUAACUCAAUCUAGGAACUCCUCAGACAUGGCCAGACAUUUGUCUCUUUGGUGACUCUACAUUCUAUCAAGUUGAAACUAUCUAUCCCCCAUAGCGGGAAACCGUAGGCCAGCCAAGGUCACAGGCCCAGGAGUCAGAGCAGGAAGGCAAUCUGGUAUAGUGAAGAAUAGAAAAUUACUGGCCUCUUGUGAGAACAUGAACUUUUUACCUCGGAGCCCACCCCCUCCCAUCUAGAGGUUGUUCUCGGAACACUCCUAAACUUUUCACCCCAAAACUCCUCACCCUAAAGUUCGAAAAAACUGUUCCAAGAACAUUUUUGAGAUAAAGGCCUCCUGAAACAACCUCAAAAUGAACCGGGUACAUUGCCAAAUGAUAGGACAUGACUCCUUAGUUACGUAGGUUCCUUGAUAGGACAUGACUCCUUAGUUACGUAGAUUCCUUUGGCAGAACUCCCUAGUGAUGUAAACUUGUACUUUUCCUGCCCAGUUCUCCCCCUUUGAGUUUUACUAUAUAAGCCUGUGAAAAAUUUUUGCUGACCUUCGAGACUCCUCUACCCUGUGCUAAGGUGUAUGAGUUUCGACCCCAGAGCUCUGUGUGCUUCCAUGUUGCUGCUUUAUUUCGACCCCAGAGCUCUGGUCUGUGUGCUUUCAUGUUGCUGCCUUAUUAAAUCUUGCCUUCUACAUUUUAUGUAUGGUCUCAGUGUCUUCUUGGGUACGCGGCUGUCCCGGGACUUGAGUGUCUGAGUGAGGGUCUUCCCUCGAGGGUCUUUCAUUUGGUGCGUUGGCCGGGAAUUCGAGAAUCUUUCAUUUGGUGCAUUGGCCGGGAAACAGCGCGACCACCCAGAGGUCCUAGACCCACUUAGAGGU